GAUACUUGUGAUCAGCAGAUUCUAAGAUGACCCCGAAGAUUUCUACCUGCUGAUGUAUAGUCAAGCACUGAUCUAGGAGACACAGUACAUGAAAGUACCAGAAUGGACUUUAUCUAAUUUCCUCUCAACAUUAUAAUCAUCUUGAGUUUUGUUUAUUUGCCAUUCCUCACCUGCUCUAUUUGCUUUUAUUGAUUUAUUAAAAUGUUCCUUGAAUGUUUCAACAUGAGAGGAAGAGGAACUGGUUGAAGAAUUGCAGAGCCAUCGAGCUCUUCUGAAAAAUAAACAAAUGACCACAGCA